CACGUAGGGCGCAAGCGUUGUCCGGAAUUAUUGGGCGUAAAGAGCUCGUAGGCGGUUCGUCGCGUCGGCUGUGAAAACCCGGAGCUCAACUCCGGGCCUGCAGUCGAUACGGGCGGACUUGAGUGUUGCAGGGGAGACUGGAAUUCCUGGUGUAGCGGUGAAAUGCGCAGAUAUCAGGAGGAACACCGGUGGCGAAGGCGGGUCUCUGGGCAACUACUGACGCUGAGGAGCGAAAGCGUGGGGAGCGAACAGG
rnacentral:rRNA from 1 species